rnacentral:lncRNA from 1 species
CGGCGGGGAGGGGUGGACCAGCAGCACUCACAGCCGGACGGAGGAGCGGACGCCAGCCGCGCCGGCCAGAGCGAGCGCCCCGUGGCCGGGGGCGCCGUCCAGGCGCGCGCCCCGGACCCGUGGCUGGACGGGGGCGAUUGGCGCCCCGGACCGACGCGCCCCUCAGCAUGGAGCGCCCCCGGGGUCUGCCCUGAGGCGGCGGCGGCGGCGAUGCAGCCAGCGCAGCAGCUGCUUGGGCCAGGAACGGCCGCCCGGAGCUCGGAGGACGUGGAGCGCACCGCGCCCGGGGCGCUGACCGAGGUGGAGAAACUGAGGUCCCAGGAGGGGGACCUGUGGCCCUCCAUCCCCUGUGACCUCAGCCACGGGACAUGGGGCUGGUCCAGGCUCCUGCAUUUGUGCCCCACAGACUAGGACAGAAAGACAGAUCACUGUCUGAGCACCGCUGUGGCUGGAGGUAUGUGCAAGGGAGGGGCUUAGGCCAAGGCCCUACUGCAGCUC